GUGGUGAUGGCAACGAACAAGACGAUAAGGGUGUCAAGGCGAUAUAUGUUAAAAAAUUACUCAAUGGGACUGAACCACUAAUUGUACGCUUGAGUAAUGAGGGACGAAUCGAUCAUCCUAUAUGCUGGUGGUCUCUGAAGAGCACAAAGCCGGACGUGGGAUUUCAACAUAAUUUAACAUACUUCAGAAAGGAUGACCAGGGCCGGAGAAAGCGCGGAUCCUGGCAAGUACGAAAUACAACCUACUAUGUCAGUCGGAAGAAUGGACCGCCGACCAUCCGUGUUA
rnacentral:lncRNA from 1 species